rnacentral:rRNA from 1 species
UACAGAGGGGGCAAGCGUUGUUCGGAAUUACUGGGCGUAAAGGGCGCGUAGGCGGGAUGGCAAGUCGGUCGUGAAAUCCCUCGGCUCAACCGAGGAACGUCGAUCGAUACUGCUGUUCUUGAGGAUUGCAGAGGAGACUGGAAUUCCCGGUGUAGCGGUGAAAUGUGUAGAGAUCGGGAGGAACACCGGUGGUGAAGGCGGGUCUCUGGGCAAUUCCUGACGCUGAGGCGCGAAAGCGUGGGGAGCAAACGGG